GAUGAAGAACGCAGCAAAAUGCGAUAAGUAAUGUGAAUUGCAGAAUUCAGUGAAUCAUCGAAUCUUUGAACGCACAUUGCGCCCGCUGGUAUUCCGGCGGGCAUGCCUGUUCGAGCGUCAUUUCAACCCUCAAACCCCCCGGGUUUGGUGUUGGGGAUCGGCUCUGCCUCACGGCGGUGCCGCCCCCGAAAUACAUUGGCGGUCUCGCUGCAGCCUCCAUUGCGUAGUAGCUAACACCUCGCAACUGGAACGCGGCGCGGCCAUGCCGUAAAACCCCAACUUCUGAAUGUUGACCUCGGAUCAGGUAGGAAUACCCGCUGAACUUAAGCAUACCAAUAAGCGGAGGA
rnacentral:misc_RNA from 1 species